UGGAAGUAGUGGGUUGCUGUUUGUUGAUCAUAUUUUGUACUGAAUUGUUAAUGUUUCCCCUACUCAUUGAAAAUAUGAGCUGAAUUCCAGAAAAUAACAGGUAGAAGGAUGGGGAUGGAAGGGUUAAAAAAUAACAUGGACGUCCUGAGUUCUUGUAGGACCAUCCCUUUGCAAGAUACUUAUCAUGACAUUGGCCCCCAAUGUGCCACGGUUUUCUCAACUUUGACAAGCCGGGAUCACUUCCUCGGGCCUGCAGGAGGUUCCCAAGUCAGUGCUUCUAAGGGGCUCCGAGAGCCUCGGGUGAACGUCACGGCGCAUGCGCGAGGGCUUAUCAGGAUAGCGCUGUGAGUUCCAAGCGAGCUCCUAAUUCCGCAGCCUACCAGCAGUUGGGAAGCAGUGUGCCCAUUUUUAUCUCAGCACCUGGCUUCUACAGAGGAAGGGAUGGGGAGGGCAUAGCGAGAGGGAGGAGGAGAGAUAAAGCAGCUUGGUGCAGGGGUGAGUCAGAGCCCGGACACUCCAACCCACGGCUGCAAAGAGCGUGAGUUUCCCACGCCCCUGUUCUGCUGUGAGGGGGGACCGCGUAUCCAGUAAUUGCAGAAUGACAUUAUUAAACAGCAGGUUGGCUGUCACACAAGUGUCAACACAUAGCUAUGGAGAUACUGGGUCUGGUCUGUAUACAGGGUCUGGUCUGUAUGUUGUCCAGGCUGGUCUCCAACUCCUGGCCUCAAGCCAUCCUCCCAUCUCGGCCUCCCAAAGCACUGGGAUUACAGGUGAGAGCCACUGUGCCUGGCCCCUUUAUUACUCAUCGAGGAGGAUAAAUAUGGAGAUUUCAUGCCUUACCCCAUGUUCAGCUCCUAUGUUUCCAGUGUCACUUCCCACUAACUUACUCUCCAGUCAUGCUGAUAUAGAUCCAUCGGGAGUUGUCCCCAACCCUCCAUGCUGUACCUUUGCGUGUGAUGUUCACUCUUUGAAUGUCUUCCCAACUUCUGCAUGCCUUGAAAAUGUCUAUUCAUUCUUCAACAUCUACCUAAGACUUUAGCUUCCUCCUUGAAGUCUUCCUGGGGGACGUCUUCCACCCUCAAACCCCUACUCAUUUUUUUGUGCCUUUUUCCAACUCUUUUCAUCCUUACAUAUUGG
rnacentral:lncRNA from 13 species